UUCUGUUGCCUUUUCUUGCGUUCGCACUUCAGACAGCUCGAUUUUUUUGACAACGAGAACUGUCAAGAGCAAAUGACAGAUCUCGUUGUCAAAUCAGUCGAGCAGUUUGUUUUGAACUUUUCAUUUUUUUCACGUUCACGUUUGUUGGCCAAAGGAACCUGUGCCGCGGAGAAAACGGUAUUACGCGGCUACCGGUGGCCAAGCCGGAGAAGCAUCUGAUAAUACCGGCUUUGUUGGUACGACGACGGCGAUAACUUUCCGAGAACUGCUCGCUGGUUCGGGUGGCAGCAUCUUCGUCUCCCACCAGGGCCACCUCGAAUUUGCCCGCGGCCAUGCAAGUUUCGCUUACGAGUUACAACUAAAACCGUCGUUGAUUUAGCAAGUGACGGUUGUCCAACUGCACUAAAGUCUACACAGCUCAUGCCACAAAACUGCGACCUUCACCAGGAACAACACCAUCAUUUACGGCGGCACCAGCCGAAGCUAACCCGAGGGCCGAGCUGAACAUUUUUCCGGCGGAAACACAAAACGGCCAAGUUGCCGCUUAACCGCACGACUACCAUUUUCGUUUACUGCCAUCAAAGUUCCCGUUCGAUUAUCUCGACCAGGACAAGUGAAAA